rnacentral:lncRNA from 1 species
ACCCUACUCUAAUAAGGCUUUUGAUAUCUGGAGCUCAUAGGUGGGAGACAGCUAAUAUAUACUUACAAGACAUUUAUUGCAUAGUCAAACCAUGGAUCCAGAAGAACAAGUCAAUAAGUCAAAUCAAGAUGUGCAUGUGUGGCGAAUGAAUGGUGAUAACAACGGUGAAAGUCUAAUUCUACUUAUGCUCUUUUGAGGGGAUACAUACCUUUCUUGCUCUUUUGAAACUUUUUGAGGAGAAUGAGAUGCUCUAUAUUUUCUUUUUCUCUUCUCUCAGGUGGGUAUCUUGUACCCCUAAUUCUACUGUCAGACACUUGUCCAUUUUUACCUCUCGUCUCACUUUUUCUUUUCUUCGAGGUUCCGGGCACUUGCCCCUUUUUAUUUCCUCGUAUCUUUUUUUUAAGAGCACUCAUCUCAUGAGAUAAUAUAGCAAGUGGUAGUAACCAAGAUAACUUGAGCAUUUAUUUUACAGGGAAAAAACAAAAAUGUUUUUGGCUAUUCUCUUCCGGAUUAGGAGUAGAAUAUUUUUGGGUGAUUCUGGAGAUGGAAAUGGGUGGAUAUAUGUGGACGCGUACUUCCGGAGUAGAAGCAGCAUGUGUGAGUGAACGUGCAAGUGAAUCUUGAUUUAACCACAUGACAAGCUCCUAAGGGUCUACACAGCUUGACCACACUCAAUGCUCAUAAGCAGUAAAAUAUAAAUGUGUGGCUCAAAGUCUAGCAAGCAUGUAUAUGGUUGUGGUAGGAAUUUAAACUCUCAUCAUACAGGAACUCAUCAUGCAACAUUUUAAAGAUUUUCAAAGAUAAAAUUCUCCAGAAUUCUAGCAUCUCUAAGAACAGAUAAACAACAGCUCAACCUUCCCAUAUCAUAUCCGUUAACGACUUAGACUUGAGAUCAAGUACUCUUCACACAAGUUCAGGUUUAGAGCAAAUCUUAAUUAAUAACAGUCAUGCCUAAACUUGAAAGAGAUUUCAAUUUUGAGAACUAGUCAUGGUAGAGCAACUAUUCAUCAUUUUCCAUGUGAGAGCUUAUCAUGAGGGUUCAUAGCAAACUUUAUUUAUUUAUUUAUUUAGCAAGCUAAGUAAAGAUAUAUAUAUAUAUAAGCACAAAAUCUUUAUUUGGGUUUUUAUGAUUAUGCAUCUUUUUAUUAUUUGAGUAAAAUAUAAACAUGAGUAGAGCACUUAGCUGGAUAAAUGGGGUUGCUCUCCCCCAAGCUGGGUUUUGACGUAAUUCCUUCUGAUGUAGCUAGCAGGUGGUGGAGGUGUAUUUGAAUGUCAGCAGCACCCUGACAGCGAUUAGGAUGUCCUCCGUAAGCUAGUCUUCUUUGAUCCUUGAAUUCUGUGAAGCUCAAAUAGACAACAAAGCUUUGUGGAACUAGUUAAGUGUUAGCAUAAAUAUCUAGCCUUUAUCAUGUUGAGCCUCCUCAAUAAAUGUUGCACUCUUUAGUAGGAUCAUAAAUUUAUUUUUAUAGGACAGGAAUAUAUUUAUUUUAUUUUUAUGCCACCACAGUGAAUGUACUUAUGGGUUUUAUGCCAUGAGCAUACUCACAUGGGGCUUACUAUUUUUAACAUUUUUAUUUUCUUUUCAAGAUAGCAUGAACUUGAUUAACUAAGCAAACUAUUUUAAAUAAUUAAAAGGAAAAAGAUAACUACCAAGUUUACCUCUUGGCAAGGCGUUCGGUGUUUUUACGUCCUCCGAACGGGACUCUCCGUUUUCUCAAUCGUCCUGGGAUUCGCUGGAUGGCGUAGUCGGUGGUUCCGGCGGCGCCUCCUCUUCGUGUAUAACAUUCUUCUCUCUACACACCUGACUCGGUGCUACGGUCUCCUUAGGACAGUUCUGUUCAAGUUGUAUGUCUUCAGACAUUACCACUUCUCCUUCGUAGUCUACCCAUCCGUCCUUGAUGAUUUGCCUCCUCUGGUUGCGGUUGCGUCAUCGUCUUCUUGUCCUGACCUGCUUAGAGUCUUCAACUAUAUAGUUAGGGUCAGUAAAAUAGUGACGUACCUUCUCAGAGGGGAAGUGCAUGUGGACUUCUCUGGUUCCAAUGUAUAUGAUUGGUUUAACGGUGUUAAAGAACGGUCUUCCAAGGAUGAUGGGUGGAUCGUACUUGUCUUCAAUCUUUCGAAAUGUCUGAUCUGCCAUCUGGAGCUGAAUGUAUGUCGGUUUCAGGGGCAUGGUUCCGAAUAGGAGCUGAUAAGUGACUGCGGCCAUUAUGUUGACGUUAGAUCCGGUGUCGUAGAGUGUCUUCUGAAAAGAAUAUCCGUUGAUUGUGCAGUCGAUGCUUGGAACACCAGGGUCAUCCUUCUUGGUCAGGAACGGUGACUUGAGUUGACGAUCUUGACCUCCUUGAGCUGCAGUGACCAUCUUAGCUGACUCGGUACACAUUUGCUUGUUCUUGUUCCUCCUGUUGGUCCUCUUCCUUGGUUCAUGUCGGGAUUGCUCUAGGAUUUGUGUAGUCUUGUUUCUUGAAGGAAAACGUCUCCUUCCUCCCCUUGAUGUAGAUACUGAUCUUGGCAGUACUAGCUUAGAUGACAGCUCCCGAGGUGUUCAGAAAUGGCCUCCCUAGGAUGAUGGGUGCCCUCUCAUAAGUACCAGUCUCUAUCUCCACGAAGUCUGCUAGGGCGUACAAGGUACCAACUCGGACACAGAGGUUCUUCAAUAUUCCUUUUGGAAAACUUAGUGUAUGAUCUGCAAGCUGCAAACCCAUGGUUGUUUCUGAUAAAGGAUGUGUAAAGAAUUUUUCAUAGAGUACCCUGGGCAUAAUGUUGACGCUGGAGCCAAAGUCGUAGAGUGCUUCUGGGAAGUCCACCAUGCCGAUGGAGAUUGGGAUGACGGGGCGUCCUGGAUCGCCUCUUGACUAGCAGAAGGUCAGUAAUUACUUCUACCAUGGGGUUACUCCAGUAGUUAUGUCCUCAAGCAUCUUAGGGCAGUGAUUGCCUGAGUGUCCAGUAUCUCCAGUCUGUUUGUGCUCAUAGAUACAAGUUCUUCACUUGGUGGAGUCUGGAAGUUGUAAAACUCCUUCAUAUUUUGCUCGAAGUGUACGUGCUCAUAGAGACAAGGCAGAGAUCAAGUGCAUGGGCUCUGUUGGUGGAAAACACCAACAGAACCAAAAGUGUAUUUCUUCUUCUCUAACCUUAAGCAUAGUGAGCAAGACAAAGUUGAUGGAUAAUAAGAUCAUGACUGUAGCAUUUAAAACAUUUGUCAGAUCAGAUUACUCAACCUUAUGGAAAGAUAAUCUAUCUAGAUUUAUGUUUUGUUUAUAUCUUCCAAAGAUUGAAUGUGCAACAUUUUAGGUUAUAUGAUUAGGAGUGUGCAAUCACAAAGGUGGAAGGACUAAACAUAUUGAAUCGAUUGGGUUGGUUAAUCUAGAGUUGUAAAUCAUACAUGUUUGUCUCUUUUAUUCAUGUGAACGCUAGAGCCAAGGAGAAGCUUAUAAAAGUGAUAGUCAAGUACCUUAAGAUGUUACCUUACUUGAAGAGUGAUGGUACAAUAUUACCUUGUGGAAGCUUUCCUUUCUUAGCGGUUAUGCAUCGUGUUGGUGGCACCCUCCAUGGAUCAUCUCUUGUGAGCUAUGUCUUCCUUGUGUAAAUUGUUAAACUUCAUGUGUGUCUCUCUUUGUCUCCAAUGUGAGUUUAUCUCAGGACUUCCCAAGUUGAUGUUGGAAGUUUUUUUUUCUGCAGGGGUUAGUCUGACAAAAUAUCCCAAUGUCUACACAAGCAGUUUUUAGUUCAAUAACCAAACUAGACUCCAUGUCUAAUUAGAUUAAGGAAGGCUGUUUAACCUAAGCACCAUGCUUAAUUUAAAAACCAAUAGAAGUAUGUACAGUACUUCCAAACUAACACUUACUAGGAUAAACAAAGGUAGCGUGAUGGCUUUUAUAGAGAUCUACUCAAGUGGAGAUGAAGUAGUGUGAUUACUAUUUAACAAAUUGAGCAUGUCUCAAAGGUAGGGACAACCAACAUAGCAACAUGGCAAAUGAUGUUUUUAUAUAAAGUACUCCCCCAAGCUUGAAUUUUGCAAAAUUCAAGUUUGGAUGAAUUUAAUUCAAUGUUGUAUGAUGAUUGGUUGUACAUACCUUGUGCUUGUCAUUCAUCCGAUCUUCUUGCUCCAAUCCUAGAAAGGUUAGUGACAAGAAUACCCGAAGGAAUAUUUUUACAAUUAUUCUUAUAUGCUCAACACACAAGGUAAUGUUGCAAAUAAUUCAAAGCUCAUGUUACGAUCUGAUCAGUGCUUAUUUUAGGACACUAAGCUUGUCCUUGGGAAACCAUUAAUUUAUGUCAGCGAAGUGGUUUCCCCUCCAACUCUGACCUAUAUCAAGAUCAACUCAACGAGAUCUACAAUAUUUAAUAUAGACAUAUGCAUCGACAACCGCCCUUUUAAAGUUUUUAUAAAUAGAAAGGAUGAGGGGGUUGGAGAUCUCGAAUGUGGUGAUGUUGGAGAGACCAAUGGAUUGUGACGAUGUUGCAUAUGAGCAUGGAGUAAAUGAAGUGGCUAUGAAAUAAAUUCCAUGCUCAAUAAUGCUUAGAGUGAAAUCCAUGUGGUAUGGUAAAAAUGAUAAGGUGAGUGUGGUAAAAAAGGAAAAGAAAAAGGAUACACGGACGACUUGGUUCGAAACUAGCACAGCUACCGUUCCCGGCAACGGCGCCAGAAAGCUUGUUGGGUAUUUUAAACGCAAACAGAAAAAUCCGCAAGCGCACGGAUACCGAUGUAGCUUUCACCCGGGAGUAUUCCAGAGUAUCGAUUUUCCACAGAGAACGUGAGUGUACUAAUUAAGAUCCAAGAUCGCCCAAGGAUAACUAUAUAACUAUUUUUGGUGGGAAGAGAGGAAGUUUCCUGAGAGUUCUCUAGUUGAUCUAAGAAUCAAGAAUUAUUUCAAGAUUAUCUAUAUCGGGACAUCAGAACACUAACCACGGAAAGAGAUGAGAAGAGGGCUAGGAAGCUCCGACUACGGUCCUACAAACACCGAUCCGAACGUGGUGGAAUACGUCGACCGUUAGGGCUGUCACUACCCUAAGGCUACCACAACAAUCCGCAGGAUUGGGUGCAAUUCCAGGUAAUUGCAAGACUAAACACCAUGUCUAAUCUAUUAAUUACUACUCUAAUGUUUCAAAGAUUAGAGCACUUGAUGCAAGCGGGAAUCCAAUAAAUAACUUGAAUGUAGAUAAAAGUAAUUAGAGAACUCAGGAGUUAUGAGUUGAAGAACCUAGAGAACGAGGAAGAACGAACCAAUUGCUGCAAAAGUACAAUGUUGAGGAAGAUCCGACAGAUCCGGCUCCUCCUCCUCCGCUCUCCUCUUCUCUCUCCCUAUUUUCUAGAUUACAACUAGAACUAACUAGAACUAGAGGAACUAGAACUAGAACUAGAUGAACUAGAACUAGAUCUAGAUGAACUAGAGGUAGAACUAGAAGAACUAGAGGGAUCCUCUCUACUUGGAUGAAGAAUUGAAACCCUAACUUUGAUUCUGUAGAAGAGGUAUGAUCUCCAGGGGCCAGGGGGUCUGGUUUUAUAGUCCCUUCAAGUGAAUCUGGUCCGUCGGAUCAAACUGACAUUAAUCGCACGGUUUUCCUUGAUCCUUUAGGUCGGUGGAGCAUAAUCCGCGAAACGUGUCCUGAUUGGGCACUGUAGCUGGGCGGGCGCCCAGGAGAGUUGGGCGGGCGCCCUGCCUCCGAGCCCGAUUUCCUUCCCGUUCGUUCCCGUGGCUUCUGGAGUCUUCUAGAUGGUAGAAAAUUGCGCGGCACGUUAAUAUCUCUAUGUAAACACGACGUGUGGGCCUUUCUUCCGUAUUUCCUGAUAACCCCCUGUAGAAAUAGACAAACACCAAAACUUGUGGAAUUCUGUCAGAUAAAACCCUAAGUCUAGGUGUUGGUUGCAUUUGGAUCCUUUUCCAUGAUUAAUUGAUGGUUAAAUAUGAGCAUUAAGGACCGUCAACAAGCUCCCCAAGCUUAACCUUUGCUCGUCCCUGAGCAAAGAUGAAGAAAAUAGUUUCUGCAGUGGUUUCAUAACUUAAAGAUACACAUGCGUUUAAACAAGAUCUCAUCUCUGGUUAGAGUAAACUGUUAAGACUUAAACUUACUCAUUUUACCUUCCACCAUGGGGCUUGCAACCGUCACUUGUGUCUUGAGCAGUUAAAAGAUAGAACAGUCUAGUCAAGCGCCAUGUCUCUAGUUCUUCGAUUAACUAUAACUCUGGUGUUUUUGUAGAUUUUCAAAUAAAACUCAGAGAUUCCUUGUAUGACUCUCUCUAGUCUCUCUUUUGUGGUAUUUCUGGAUCCUUACCAAGGCAGUAAAGGUGUAUGCCUUCUCUCAAAGUAUGUGGUAUUUUUGGUAUAAGGCAUAGUGACAUUGCCUUCUCUCUCACCCUACUCUAAUAAGGCUUUUGAUAUCUGGAGCUCAUAGGUGGGAGACAGCUAAUAUAUACUUACAAGACAUUUAUUGCAUAGUCAAACCAUGGAUCCAGAAGAACAAGUCAAUAAGUCAAAUCAAGAUGUGCAUGUGUGGCGAAUGAAUGGUGAUAACAACGGUGAAAGUCUAAUUCUACUUAUGCUCUUUUGAGGGGAUACAUACCUUUCUUGCUCUUUUGAAACUUUUUGAGGAGAAUGAGAUGCUCUAUAUUUUCUUUUUCUCUUCUCUCAGGUGGGUAUCUUGUACCCCUAAUUCUACUGUCGGACACUUGUCCAUUUUUACCUCUCGUCUCACUUUUUCUUUUCUUCGAGGUUCCGGGCACUUGCCCCUUUUUAUUUCCUCGUAUCUUUUU